rnacentral:lncRNA from 1 species
GCUCAAGGAAAGGGAUUUCAAAAGGCACAUGUCCCAUCUGUCAGGGUCAGCGGGAGAGGAACCGUGAGAAGCAGCGGGCAGCUGGAGUUCACUCGGGGUGAGCGGCCGGUGGGGGGGGGGGGGCUCGGAGGGUGGGAAACAGCGGGGAGGAAGGCACCCAGGGUUCCCACGCUGGAUCCCGCCAGUGCGAGGAGGGAGCAGCAGCACGGACGCGCCCCGGCGUGGGAAAGGCGCCCUGUCCGUGAGCGUCUGAAGAAGCAGGUCCCACUCCCAGAAGAGGCCUGGCCACGGCCUGUGACAGAUGCGGAUGUGAAACUGGAGACACUGGGACUGUGCUUUUGAGAAUCAUAAAAAAGAAUACAGGGAAGCGGCUGUGGCUCAAACGAUGGGGCUCCCGCCCACCAUAUGGGAGGCCCUGGGUUUGCGUCCCAGGGCCUCCUUGUGAGGGCAAGCUGGCCCGUGCCCCCGGAGAGCUGAUGGCCCGUGCGCCGCGGAGAGCUGGUGCAGCAAGUAGACGCAACAAAGGGAGACAAGCCGAUACAGAAAAAACGUG